AACGGAAAAGGGAUAUAAUUGAUUGGAAUUUCAAAAGUAAGCAUUACCUGUGCAACUAAAAGUGCUUGGGCGGUCGAUUGACCGACCGCCGCAGCCACAAGGUCCAGUGGAUCAGGAAUUAUAGUAGUAAGGAGAAGAUUUUUACA
ensembl:ncRNA B0495.19 ncRNA